rnacentral:rRNA from 1 species
CAGCCGCCGCGGGAAUACAGAGGGUGCGAGCGUUAAUCGGAUUUACUGGGCGUAAAGCGUGCGUAGGCGGCUUCUUAAGUCGGAUGUGAAAUCCCUGAGCUUAACUUAGGAAUUGCAUUCGAUACUGGGAAGCUAGAGUAUGGGAGAGGAUGGUAGAAUUCCAGGUGUAGCGGUGAAAUGCGUAGAGAUCUGGAGGAAUACCGAUGGCGAAGGCAGCCAUCUGGCCUAAUACUGACGCUGAGGUACGAAGGCAUGGGGAGCAAACAGGAUUAGAUACCCCUGUAGUCCCUGUCUCUUAUAC